GAACCUGAGGACUUAGACUGAAAGCUGUAGCUUGUGGACCUCAGUGGAGAUCAGCAUCUCAGGCUCCAGGGGGAGCCAUCCCUUCAUCCAGAGCUGCUGCUGGCAGAUCGAGAGCCGGAGCCUGCUAACCAGUAGACGAGGGAGAAGCUCACUGCCCUGCGUGCAGCACAGCAGGGCAGGGGGGCAGGAGGUUGUGGCUCUUUGGAGUUACGCAUGGCUGGCUCUGAUUCUGUAAAAAAAAAAAAAGGAAACGGCUUCUACACGGAGAUGACCGCAUCUAAGUCCCGGGGAGUCUCAGGAAAGGGAAUGUUUUAGACUAGGGAGUCUCCUGUCUUCCUGGGGCCUGUGGAUUUUCCUAAGCUAAACCUGUCCCAGAGCAGAUUUGGCUGUGUGUGCACAGAGGUGUGUGAAGCUGCUCUCCUUGAACCUUCAGGCUGACUUUCUGGUCCGGCAGCACAUUCUACAAGGGCAGUCACACGUCCCUUGACUUGGACAGCAGCUGCCCAUCUUUUUGUCAGAGGAGCAUCUGGGUUCCGUACGAUUGCUGCUUCAUAGAGACCGAUAUAUUGCCGUUGUCUUCCUGGAGGAACAGCCAGGCUUUUGGUAAACUCUGUGGAAACCUGAAAGCAGCUAUGAGCACAUCAGACAUUUCCAGUGUGGUGUUUGGUGCUAAUGACAGAACUCUCUUCUGCCGUCUGAAGCCCGGAGUGCUUCAGAUUUGAUUUAGGUUCCUUUCUGAGCUUAGUCUCUCCCCUUCUAGACUUUUAUAAUGUUGGGCUGCAUCAUAUGUGGUCUCCUUCUGAAACAGCCUGGCCUGGUUUUGAUUUUUAAGCUAGAGGUCCAGCAAAACAAAGGUAGCUUUUCUCUGGGUAUUUCUAUUAUGUGGUCAUCACUCCAGGACUUAUUGUAGAGCUACACCUUCACGCAUGCUGGUACACACAUACACACACAUACACAGACACACACAUACACACACACACACAUACACACACACACACACACACACACACACACACACACACACACACACACACACACACCAGGUUCACAUCCUCUGAGAUAAAAGAGGUUCACACUCAAGGUGAGUCAUCCCUCAAUUUGUUCUCUUUAAAGCAGAGUAAACUCAGGAGCUGUUCUUGCUGAGAGCCCUGCAGUACUCCACAGCACAGUGUUGAUGCUCCCACAUCAACAAAGUUAGAGCUACACUUUUGUCUUGUCUGUCGUCACUGCGAUGGACUCCCACCUGCCUGGAGUAAAUCCUGCCCUUUCUCAUCUGAUUUGCUUUGAGACCACACAGCAGCACCGGCCUUUUCUAAGGAACUGAGAGGAUCCCUGAGCCCAGGCAGGGGGCUGCCUGAACUGACCUGCUAGUCCCCUUUUUUGAGUGAAGCCCACAUCCUUGUGUUUGGGGUCCUGGAAUUCCCAAUUCUAUUCUUUUCCUGUUGAUGACAUAAGAGCUGUUGUAGCCUUGGGUAUCAUCUUUCUUGUGGGAACUCUGUUGUUAAGCUAAGGGGAAGCCCCUAAAUCAUCAACGAAACCCCUGGGGAAUUAAAUAUAUCUGUAGCAACUAUUCUCUUAGCUAAAGCGAUCUGAAAUUAUUUUCUUCUGAGAAACUACUGGAAGUUGUUUUUCUUUGAGACAGUCUCAUUACAGAGCCCAGACUAGCCUACAAUUCAGGGACAUUCUCCUGCCUCAGUCUUCUCCACACCUGGUCAGAAACUUGAGAUUCUUUUCAUAGUAUUGAAAAGUCCUUGAGUGACAUUACACAAAAGUUAAAAAUUGUCGAAUAUUCCUAGAUAUCAUAGUACUUGGGAAGCUUAAUACCCAAACCAGGGCCCAGUUAGAAAAGCCACAGCGAUGGCUGUGGUGCAAUUGGCUGACCUUGGCUAGGAGCAGAGUAGGUGCAGAGAGAGCGCGUGUCAGUCACAGCCCCAGAUUAGUUUGUACUCUUGUAUAUGCGUCCACGGGUACCGCUCUGGUUGGUUUCAGACAGGUCUGUCCUCCGAGGCCCCAGUAGUUCCGUAUUUUCGUUUGGGUUUGGGUUUUCAGUUUUUUAUAGUGCCAGCUUAAUAAAUGACGUUCUUCUUGCUAUGCUUAAAUGACAAAGUAGCUCAAACUCCUAACUUAAAGAAAUGUUUACAAAUCUGAUUUCUCCCUUAUUAAGGUGAGGUGGUGUCACAUGCAAACUUGGAAACGGUUCUACAUGAAAUUAAAGCGAUUCUAUUCUUCCCUGCCUUUAUGUAAUGGAAUGGCACAGUAUGCACCCAACUGUUUUCUGUAAUUAACCUAAAAGCAGCCCCGGUUACCUAGUUUAUACUGUUCCCACUAGAGGGCACUGUUGCCCUUCGAGACAGUUGAACUUGGAUGGUUUUCUUCCCUGGUUGCCUAGCCUGGCUUUCCCUUUUGUUAAAUAGUGCCCUUUCCUUCCCUAAAGUAUCUUUCAGGGCAAGUCCGUCUCAGUGAUAGAAUCCUGGCUGAAGACUAGGACCGGUGUCAUCUUUCUCUUUCUCUUUCUUGGCUUUGCGUUUUUGUUUUGUUUGUAUAAAAUGCCAAAGAUGAAGAGGUCCAUUUAACAAAAAGGUCCAUUGUAUUCAGGGAGCAGCUUGUUCCGCCAAAUUACACAAGGACAGUGUUUCUUGGCAUUAUCGGUUUUGAGUGUGCUGGCCUAUCAAUUAUCUGAUUUCUUUUUCUAAGUGGGUAUUGUAAGAUUUAAAUAUUAAUGCCUGUGUUUAAGGUUCAUUUAGAAUGCCUCAGUGACCUUAUUUAUUUAUUUAUUUUUUGCCCAGCAGUCUUAUCUAGUGUGAUAUAAUAUAUUUUAAUUAGAUUGUUUAUGAUACGCAUUCUGUUACUAGAAGAAAAUGCGUCCUUUUGGACUUGGUGUCUGUUUCUUAAAUAAGAAGUCACAACAGCCAGACUGUGAAAUGGGCAGCCAGUCCUCUGCACAGUCGGUGGGUGGGGUGGUAUUACCAUUAAAGUUUGAGCAGGUCAUUUGUGGCCCAGAAGAAAGGAACGUAGGUUUGGCUUGAUAAACUGUUUAUCUUCAGAUUUUAAGUGGAGACAGGAUGAAGCUCUGUUAUAUACUGUUGUGUAUAUUAUGUUCCUUCUCAGUGACUUCUUCCUUUCUCUUGAAAGUGGGGGAGCCUUCAAAUGCCAUGGGCCUGUGUGUGUGUGUGUGUGUAUCUGUACCAGAGCGGAGCUGUUUCACGAGAGUGAGGAUGUUCCGUUCGCUCAAGUGCAGGUGCUCCUGUUUAAGAAAUAAACUGUUAAAACUAGAUGGCUUUGCGAUUAUCACAGACCUGAUAAUAAAGGUGACGUUUGCGGGCGGGGCCUCUGGCUGUCCCUCGGGCGGUAUGAAGGAGUCUUACCCUGUGUUGUGCCUUCUCAGCCAUGCACAUUGCCCCCGUGUGAGUUCUCAACUUUUUCCAGAAUUGCAUUUGGGGUACAGGGGCGUCUUUCAAGGGUCUCUUAAUGUAAGGCACCCAUAGGUUACCAAGAAGUUCCUCACAGAGUUGGGGCUCCCCCUGCCCAUAUUAUUUCCCUCGAUUUAGCAAAUGAAGCCCCCCACAGUGAUUUGCCAAACUGGGAUACAGGGCAAGCACUGGUGUGCGUGGCGUGAGCCAGUUCCAGGUCUCAUGGUGUUUGCGUAUCAGGCUGUCUAGCUUCUCUUUCUUCUUGGAUAUUGUUAUACACUAUAUUCAGACACCUGCCAUUAGAGUCAAGCCAUUAUGUGGAAUUAGCUUUCUGUGUCUUCUCAUUCAACGAAUUUUAGAUUUAUUUUUAUUAUUAAAUGUAUUCUCUAUGGGAAAUGUAGAAAAUAGAGCCCCCCACCCCAAAUAAACAGCAACAACUCAAAAUCCUUUCCAGCGAGAAGCAUGUUGCUAGCAUUGGGCGUCUGCGAUGCCAGGCAGUGGCUGUCCUCUUUUCCUCUGUGAUUUUUUUUUCUUUUGGGCUGUGAAGUGUAUCUUUCCCUGCCAUUACAUACCCCACCUCUUAAAUGGCUGCAUAGUACUCCAUCAGAUGGUCCCAGCUAUCUCCCCAGUGUGCCACAUUUGGGUAGAUGCCAGCUUUUUAAUAGCCGCAGAAUGGAGGCAGACAUUUUGCAAUUAAAUGUUUGUACCCAUCUGUGACACUCUGCAGCCUUAUUCUGUGGAAGGAGAAUUGCUGAGUCGACUGAUUUACCCACUAAUCUUAAUAUCUUGAUUUGUGACACUGCACCCCUAAAUUGUUGUACCAGCCUGAUUGCCAGUUGUUUCUCCAUGCCCCUGCCAAUCUUGGGAUGGGCAUUAAAAAAGAAAAGAAAAGAAAAGAAAACCUGUCAGUUAAAUCCUUGUGCCUCGGACACCUAAGAUGGACCGGUUCUUCACGUCUGGCCAUUUGUACUUAUUCUUUUAUGAAUUGCCUUUUCAUUUUGUAUGCAUGGCUAUCAGAUACAUAUUGAUUGCUGAUUGAUUGCUCGUUCCAUACAGUAUAAUUUAAUUUUCAAAAUGUCCCUUUCUCUUAGAAGUUAAUUUAUCUCACAGUGUCCGUUACUCUAAGUACAUAUUCAAUCCUGUGAUCAAGAGGCAAUUCAUAGAGAAGCCAGCCUGACUUCCCAGCCUGCCUCUGUGAAGUCCCCUACUAGGCUUCUCGGCUGUUCGCCUUGCUUAGCCCACCCCCAACCCCUCGAAUCCUGAGCGCUGAAUGGAGGAGGGAUGCUCAGCUCAGCCCUUGGCUGGCUCAUAGUGGGGCUUGAGGGGCUGGUAAACAGUAGCCAGGAAUUGGUGAUUCCCGGCUAUGCGCCACCCCCCCCCCCCAAUCUGUGAAAGCUAGUAACACCACGCUAGAGCAUUCCUGUGCACUUGUUCAUGUGAUGAGCCCACCUCCCGCGUAGUGAAAUUGUACCAGUGCCAAAAAUAGAUCUGCUGACAGGCAGGGCAGGCUUGAUUGGUGGCGGGUUUCAGUCUGGAGAGGGGCAGGCAAGGAGUUCUGACUCUGGAAGCAGGCAUGACCUAGUUUUCAAACUGCUCACCUCUUCCUACCUGAGUGACUCAGGCCAGGUGACUUCCUCCAGCGCAUGAGCAACACAGAUAGUUCCUUCCGUCUUUCCACCUCCGUGCGGUUGUUCAGGAUGGAGAUCUGGGUCCCUUGCAGACACUUAACCCUGCAGCCAUUUCUGUAGGAGCUGCCAGGGCCCAGAAUGAGUCCUUAUAUUAAUUUGGUGUUUCCAAGCUUCAUGCUUUUGAGGUCCUCCUGAGGCUGUUACAGGAGCUCUGCAUUAGUCCCAGGGUCAUCUUUUUGAUCAUUUGUACAACUGCAUUGACUGGUCUUUAGUUUGAAAAGAUUUUUACCCCUUUUGGUUAAAAGUCAGAUAGUACCAUCAUUAGCAAACAAACAAACACCCCCCAAAAACUGAAAAAAUAAAAUCCGAUGAGGCUGUUUCUGUAGCCUUGGAGAAGAAAGGUAUCACAGUCAGUGGGGGAAUGGAGGGACUUGAACUAUGAGCCCUUGUAUGAAUCAGAUCACAGUUGUUUCUGAGUCUGGCAUUAGGACACUCGUUCGAGUAACUGAUGGUUUGCAGGGCUGCCUACUGCAUUAAGACUAAAUGUCCAGAGUUGCUAUUCCUCUCUCCUGGAAUACGCAAGAGUGAGUCAAUGCUGGAGUGUAAUUUUAUCAGCACCCAGAGGUGCACACCUUGAUUGGAGGCUCUUGGGACAUAGCAGGAAGAAAACUAGUAGGACUGCAGUGAGCUUGUUAAGUGACCUAGGGCAGGCCACUUUAGUAUUUUAAAUAUAAGGCUCUUCAUUUGUAAAAUUUAGAUACUAUAAUUUCUCUGUCUCUUAAAACAUUUUGUAGUUACAUGUGUGUGUGUGUGUGUGUGUGUGUGUGUGUGUGUGUGUGUGUACGUACGUGCAUGUGUGCAUGCACAUACAUAUGUGUGUAUGGACAGAGGAUAGCUUGAAGAGUCACUUCUCUUUCCACUAUGUGGGUUCCAGGGAUCCAGCUCGGGUCAUUAGGCAUGAUUGUGAGCGCUCUUACUUCCUGAGCCAUCUCAGUGAUCCCACAUUUUCCUGUUAAGAUGGGGUCCUGUAGCUUAGGCUGACUUUGAGUGCAGAGUAACAAGCAUGUGUCACCAUUCCUGGUUCUGUGCCUGUUUUGCAUGGAUCAAAUAAUGGAUACUACAAAGUUCUUUAGGAUAAGGGCGCUUAUGGUUGUGGAGGAAAAUAACCUCACAGCUGUGGGAAAGAGGCCUGAGGUUGGAAGAGAGAGAGUGUUUUAAUUCCUUUAGUAGAUGGAACAUUCUAGGAGCUCUCGAUAGCUUUUCCUCAGGGGUGCUGAGGUGUUCAGAAAGGGAGCCAGAUGUUGAAGAACUGGACUGUGCUAUGCGGCUGGUUUGGUUUUCAUGUCUAGAAAGUCUUAACCAGGUGUUGACCUGCGUACAGUGAUAUCCAGGGGGUCAGAAGCGGAAACUUGAUGUAGGAAGAAGGGGGGAUUCCUCAUAGAUCCAGGAGCUCCAUGAGGGAGUUGUGUUGAGAGUUCACAGGUGGAGGUGCUGUCAGUUCUUGGGCCAUGUGGUUUCGUGCUGGUGACCUUUAGUUUUCUAAGCCUUGGUCUGCCUACAGCAUGGAGCCAGUGCACAGGGAGAUGCAGAAUUCUUAUGUGAACUGGGUGCUCUCUUCUGAUUGGUCAACUGGGAGUCCCACCUUGAUUCUGGAAGCUUUUCCUGAUGAUCAUAGAAGCAAAGGGUGAAUAUAAUCUUAAAGGAGGGACUUCAAGGAGCUGGGGACAUGGCUCAAUGGUUAAAUGGUUGCCUGACAAUCAUGAGGGCCAUAGUUCAAAUCCUCAUAGUCAAUGCCAGUGGGCUUAGCAGCAGCUGUUUCAGCCUGACUAGGCACAACAGUGAGCUCUGGGUUUGACUGAGAGUCCCUGCUUCAUUGAGUAUGGUAGAGGAGUGAUGGGGGAUGUUUCUACACGCACACUCACACACACACACACUCACACACUCAUACACACUCAUACACACACACUCACACACACUCACACACACACACUCAUACACACUCACACACACACUCACAUACACACUCAUACACAUACUCUCACACACACACUCAUACACACUCAUACACACUCACACACACUCACACACUCACACACACACACUCAUACUCACACACACUCACACACACACACACUCAUACACACUCAUACACACACACUCACACACACACUCAUACACACUCACACACACACUCACACACUCACACAUACACACUCAUACACACUCACAAACUCACACACUCGCACACACACUCACACACACUCACACACACUCACACACACACUCACACACACUCAUACACACUCACAAACUCACACACUCACACACACACUCUCACACACACACUCACACACACACUCAUACACAACACACACACACUCACACACACACUCAUACACAACACACACACUCACACACACUCACACCCACACUCAUACACACUCACACACACUCAUACACACUCACAAACUCACACACUCACACACACACUCACACAUGUGCCCCACAUUUAUGCAAGCAUACACACUUACAUGCGCAUCACAUACACACUCACAAAUGGGAAGAGAAAGAAAAACAAACAAAAGGAGGGGCCUCACUGUUAGCCACCCCUGUCUGUAAGGAUGAACCUCCCAAAGUUUCCGCAUCGCCCAGCAUCUUGUCCUCUAACUGCGUUGUGCACUUCUGCGCGGCCAUGUUGUAGAGUAACCAGCUGUAUGCUCUCAGUUCGGCAGCCGGGUGUGAGAAGCUUGUCUUGGCCGAGAGAUCAUCAAUGUAUUAAAAAAAAAAAACAACCAAACAAACCCCCGUGCCAUUACAGCUUGAUCUGUUGUUAGUGAAGACAUUUCCACCAUGUGCAGUUACCAAGCUGAGUAUCAGAUCCAUCGGGGAGUGCUGUAACACAUCCAUUCCAAGAGACGUCUCAGCCAGGAGCCAAGUCAGAGUUUUGGCAAGAGACACCAUCUUUUCCGCCUGCAGAGCUGAUUGUCUGCAUGCACGAGGCUCCUUUUUCACCAAGUGUAAUUGCUGCUUGGCCAGGGUUCCCGCGUUUUGUCCUUCCUUUGUAUUUUCCCUUGAUGAGGGUUGGAGCGAGCCAGCCGUGCUUGUGCGUCAUCACCAGGCACCGAGGCCGACAGGACUGUACACAUAGACGGCAUCUGUCAUACGACUCUUCCCUGUUUGUUUAGUAUUCAUUUCCUGUCACUGCUCUGAAAGAUCUUCACGCACCUGCCGGCCUAAAACACACUUAAGUUUCUGCGCUGCAGAUACAGAGGUCAGAACUUUUGUUCAUCUUACUGGGCUAAAGUCAAGGUGCUAUCAGGGCUGGUCCUCCUGGAGGCUCUGGGGUGGGGGUCGGGGUACCCAUUUCCUCCCUUUUCCUCAAGCUCCUGGCAGCUGCCCGUGUCCCUCGGUCACAGCCCCAUCCUCCACCUUCCAACCUUCCCCACAUCACUCUAGCCACCCAUUCUUCCACUCUGGGCUCUAGCCAUUCAGUGCCUCCGUCUGUGAACUACUGUGAUGACAUUCAGUAUUUCUCCCCUCCCCCUUAAUCCAGGACCACCCUUCCUCCAUUCGAGACCCCUCAUUUAACCCCAUUGUCAAAAUCCCCUUUGCUGUGUCAGGUGACAUUCCCAAAGAUCAGGAUGUUAACAUUGUCCAAGGAGGGACAUUACUGUACCUAGGAUAGCCAAUGCAUUGUCCCAGAAACGGCGUUAGAGUACCAGGUACAUUUCUUGUCAUAGUGACAGAUCCUGACAGACAUGAUCCUAGGCUCGGGUUCCACAGGGUACAGUUCACCAUAGUGGGGGAGGCUCCGUGGCUGAAGAGCUUGUGAUAUGCUUUGUUGGUAUCUAGAUGGAUCAGGAAAUUAACUUCCUGCUGGAAGUUCAGUUGGAAGUAAAGUUGGACUCUGGUCCUCAAGGCCUGUCCCUCAUGGCUAACCCGUCUCUGUCAGCAAGAUCCUAUGCCCAAAGGGCUCCGUUACCUGUCAAAACAGAAUCACCAGGUGGGAACCAGGUGUUCAGCCACCUGUCUGUGGGGGACAUUUCACAUCCAGACUGUGACAGCUUUAAGAACCUCUGUCCCUCUGUACUUCUUUCCUCAGUGGGUCUCUGGUCUGGGAAGUUUUGUCUAGAGAAGUUAUGCUUUGGGAGAAGUCCCCUGGAACCGCAGCUAUACCAGUUUGAGUGUCUCCAGGGCGGGAAGGUCCACAGAGACCUAAAACAUGUGCUACGUUAUCUGUUGCUGAGUCCCCUGGAAUCCAGUGAUCGAUGUGUUUGGUCACGUUUAUGUGAGAAUGUGCAUGUGUGUCUGGACAUUUGUAUGUGUGUGGUGUGUCCAUGUGUGUGUAGUGUGGAUGUCUGUUUACAGGUAUGUGUAUAUAUGCACAUGUGCAUGUAGUAUGUGUGUGUCCACAUGUAUGGGCAUAUGUGCAUGGGCACAUGCAUAUGUAGUGUGUGUAUAUAGUAUAUGUACAUGUGUGUAGUUUGUGCAUACAUGUGUAUAGUAUAUAUGUGCAUGUAUGUAGUGUGUAUGUGUCUGUGUGUGGUCUGUGUGCAUGUGUGUGUGUGUGUAGGGAUAUUUGGCUAAGAGCAGAGCUCCAGGUUAUCAUUUAGGACAGGUAAAAACUAAUGACCUAUUUUAAUUAUUUAUUUAUUUUCUUGCCAACAUGUUAAAAUCAGGAUAUUUUACUUAAAUCUAAAGUUUCUGAGGAAUUUUGAGAAAUCAGAGUUAAUGUUCUGGACCAAAUGCUCACAGUGUUUUAAAAUCUUGAGCGACGGGCUGGAGAGGUGGCUCAGCAGUUAGGAGCAUGACUGUUCUUCCAAGGACCUGAGUUCAAUUUCCAGCAACCACAUGGUGGCUCACAGCCAUCUGUAAUGGGAUCUGAUGCCCCCUUCUGAUGUGUCUGAAGACAGCAGCAAUGUACUCAUAGGCAUAAAAUAAAUAAAAUUAAAAAAAAAAUCCUGAGUGACCCUGAGUGGAAGUGAUAGGUACCUUAGGCAUGUGAUUAAAUCCUAAGGUGGGGUGUGAAUGGAUUUGUACCCUUUCAAGACUGGGCCUGAGAGCAGUCUAGUGAGGGCAUAGUGUGGUAUGAGAAGGCAGCCUGGGAGCCAGCAUGAGGGCCCUCUCCAGCAGCCUGACCUUGGACUUCUCCGCUCAGUGAGAGAGGUAAGAAAGCUGUUUGCUCCUGGAGGCAGCCAGCAAGUCUGUAGCAGGUGUCUGCAGCCCUGGCUGACAGUCACUAAACCCUCUGUGGACAGUGGACAGUGUUUGCUGCUUAUUGAGCACUUAUGCCCCCUGCAGGCUUCUUCCCUGCUGUGUGUGCUCAUGUGACCUACUUGUGAGGCAAGUUUGGAUAGGUCGACCCACAAACUCCCCUUUACUGUCUUUUGUGCAUUCCGUGUACACCUAUCAACCCCUGGGUACUGGUUGGGUACUGGUUGCUCAGUCUUCAGUAGAAUCAGCCUUGGCCUUUAUUCUCGGGGAGGUGGAUCUUUGUGCCUCUUCAGAGCAUUUCCAUUGAUGUGCUCCACAGUGUGUGUGCGGUGUGUGUGUAUGUGCGCUUUCUCUGAGUAUGUCUGCAUAUGAAUGCUAUUUCCUGCGCUUCUCCCUUUGCAUUUAAAGACACAGACACUUCAUACUUGAACCGUCUACAAGGAAAUCACUAAGCAGAGUCUUUACUUCGAAGAGAACAGUUGCCAGCAGUGGGUGCUCUUCAGUUCUCCUGGGCUUUGUCCCACGUCUGUCAGAGGGGUGACAAAGGAGUGCAGAGUGUAGGACGGGACCAGGUGAGCGCAGAGUCACCAUGAACUUGAACACUGUGUGUGAUCUGUGAUCCAGCUCAAUUCCACAGUUCUGCUACUCACAUCGUGUUGAUAAGUACACAGGGACAUUGCUUUUUCUUUUUAAGGUCACCAGCAGUCUCAAGUGUCUGCUUCUGACCUAGGCAGUGACUUUCCACUUACUGAGAACAAGUAGCCAGGCAGAGGGGCAGGCCCGCUUGCCUGAUUUCAUGGCCUGAUAGCCUCUUCUUUUCUCUCCGGCUUCCCUUUAGUGAGCUCCCAGGCUUUACUCUGUGGUUCAUUGUAGCCCUGGGCUCUUCAGGCCCGAUGGUGUAGCCGAGCUCUGCAAGUGCUGGCUGCGGAUGGAUCUGACAGUCUACAGGGAGGCUUUAUAAGUGCCGUAAAUUCUCGACGCCACCCUCUUUGCGUUUUUCCAGUGCUACAGUUACUUCCGAGCACAGGAUUUGAAGCAGGAGGGAGAGGCACGGAGCAGCAACGCAUGGUCAUGCCUUCUGUCAGGGCUGUGGAGAUGCUGGUCAUGGUGUUGGCUACUAUUCCAAUCCACACAUUCCAAGCAAACUUUUUAUGACCUGCCAUAUAAAUGGAAAGGUAAACCAAAUCAGGAUAGCAUAGUCAGUCUUCAGGGAGUGACCUGGAUUUCAUGGUUCAGUUGUCAUAAAGGUGGUCUUGCGUGCCGUGAAGAAUUUAGAAGUGUUUCACUUUUCAAAGGACACUCCUUUAAAACUCUGUGCUGUGUCUGAGCUGUCCACCGGAGAGAAGUACUUGGGAGGGAAGUGAUUUUUAAGACCCUCCCGCAGAUGCAGAUGGAUUUAAAUGCAGAUGUAUCCACCGCUGGAACACCCCCCCCCCCCCGUUUGCAUUACUUGCACAGGAGCCUCAUCAUAGAGAAGCCAGCUCACAAGGGCAGGGGACCGAAGCGUUUGCAGAGCUGAGCUUGAACUUACAAGGGGACAAAUCAGUCCGGAGCUGGUAGCCUUAGAAAUAAGACUUUCUGAAUUUACAGUCAGCAGGCUGUAAAUUCUUCCACGGUCUUUGCAGACUGUGUGACUCUUGUUCAGAUAUUAAGAGCACCAUAUAUGUUUUCUUAAAUACUUCUUAAUGGUUUCCUUUGGGAAUGGCUAACAUAGUGCUCCCCUUCUCUCACCCCUCCAUGUCUGUGAGCAUGCAGACGCACACGAGUGUUCUCAGGUGUGGUGGGGACUUAACUUGUGACUAAUACAGAAAAGUAAACGUUAAUGUGGUCUGGAGCCUUUGCUCGAACUUGGGCAUGGGCCGUCAGCAUCCACGUGCUAGCAGUGACAAUUGCUAUUGGGUGCCAUCGGAAGUCUUACUUAGGAAUAAAACUAUCGUCAGUGCUGGGCAUUACUGCAAGCAGUAGGGACUUUGGAAAAGCUAUGGGCUAGUACACUGUGCUUAGUAACACCUACUGCUUUAUUUGUACUGUCAGUCUCAGGGAAGCCUCGAGCUCCUCUUUAGAUUGGCUCACCGUCCGUUGUUAUGAAGAGAAUUGGUGCCUUUUCCUAGCUCAUGUCAUGGAGUCCAGCCUCAGCCCGUCUCUUCAUCCUAUUGGGUUGUAUCUCUUACUUUUAUUUUUGCACAUCAGUGUCUGCCGUGACAGUCUUUAAGCUCUUGGAAGAUUUUGGCAGUUGCUGCCUGCCUAAGAACAUAAAUGGCCCUACUGUUGUUCUCUGCAGAGUUAAAAAUCCCCAUUGUUAGGCUCAGGUAGGGAUAAUUUAGGUGCUGCCUAGAAUGAAGGGCACAGAAUGUUUUACUUGCUGAGUUGAGCUCAUAGCCUUUGUGUUAGAUAGCUCGAUCCUGUUUUCGUCUGUGUUAGAUGUGAAAGGAAGCAGGCAAGUCUGAGGAUAUUAAUAGUGUCGUCACAGGGUAAUCCCGCCGUGGAGAAGCAUGCACAGAGGAGUCAGAGGGAGCAUUAAACUGAAGGAAGAGAGUGAUUUUUGGUGACUUAACAAUGUUGCUGACACAGGAGACUGGGACAGGACAGGAGAGAUGGUGUCCCCUGCGUGCCAGACAGUCUAAAUGCGGUCUGUCCCCUGUAGACUAAGAGGGGGACUUGCUGUGAAUGGAGGGUGCACAUGCUCCCCUGGGCUUCCUUUCUCAGAAUUCAGGAGAGAGCAGUGCAACAGCUCACGAAUGGUGAUUUACCAAGGAGCACCCAGAGCACAGCCCGCUAUUGAAGAUGAGCCCCACGUUCUUCUUGUGUCCUUCAGCGUGUACCCCUUCCUGGCCCACUGUUUGCCAUGAAUGCCACCGUUCUUUCCUGGGAAGCAUGUACUGGUAUUCUAGGGGAUGCUUGUAAUACAGUUUCCUUUUAGGAGCAUACAAGAAAGCACAACAGGAGAGAGAAUUUAGGUUUUCAUUUCUCUACUAGCUUGAGUUUAUUAUCUGAGUAAAUUAAAUGUUGUUAGUGGUGUUCAGGUGCCAGAGGCCAACUUCAUGGAUCACCUGAAUGUUGGAUCUCUUUGUUCUGUGAACUUAGAUUUCUUUCUUCCACGCAUGACUUUUAUCUAAAUCAGUUCCCCCUCCCACUUUAUAUAUGAAAUUGACACAAAUUGUUUUAAUGGUGAAAGCGGUGAUGUCUUUACAUUCUGCACUGAAAACCAUUGACUAUAUCACAGGCAAAUUGUAUGCUAUGUGAAUUACUUACCAAUAAAGAUUUUAUUUAAAAAAACCGAAACAUCUCGUCACAUCGGACCCAACAAAAGACAGGUAAAAAUGACAUCUGUUGGGUUAUCUUUCUGCUGGUCUGGCUUGUUGAGGACUGAACUUGAACAUGGCUAGACUAACGCAGCUUUAGGUCUCUACCAUAGAAGGUCCACCCUUUUGACUAGAAUGCAUUCAGCUUGCAAGUGUGUCUGGCUGAUUAUUAACUACGCGCACGUAUAUAUGUGUAUGGCGUGAUAAACGAUGGGUAGGUGCUGUAGCCACAUAUAAAAUUACAUUAAGGCCCAAAAGGUGCUUUUAUGACACGUGCUGACAACGGCCUCUGACUUUCCCAGGGCUUCUUCAUGUCCACUGUGAUGAAUCUAUUUAUUACUCCUCUAAUGAGCCACACACAUGGUUGGUUAGCCGAGUUAUUGAACUUUAUCAGCCUUGGCUGAAAUUCACAAUGCGUGCCAGACUUGUUGUAACAUGUAAGAAAUUACAUCUGGGUAAAGGGUUCAACAGCCGAGACUCCGACAAUGGACUCUUUCCCAGAGCACGGGCUUUCCUGAUAUGCCCUGAUUCAAGCAGAACAAGAAAUCAACACACCUGGAGAAGUAGAUUCACUUGGGAUGUAGGUCCUAAUUUGUGGCAGGCGUAUUCCAGUUCUAGGCGACAUGGAGUAUGACCAUGUCCAUCCGGCCAUGCUGAUGUGGCUGGUGAACCCGUUUGGGUCUAAUGGUGCCAUAUCAGCACGUUACCGUUCUGGACUGGCUUGACCGGUUUGAACUAUACCUCGGUGACACAGAUUUUUGCUCUUACUGGCAAAGCCUCAGCAUAGGUGGAUCUGUAAAGGCGUAAGGAGGUGUUAGGGUUAGAGAGACCCAGCAUAUAACAGACAUUUUCCUUUCCGAGUUAUGAGCAAAGGGAGAAAUGAGACCACAAUAGAUGAAAUUGGGGAACGAAACAUCUCUGGAAUCACAUUGUCGUUGACUUCUAUGGACAGGCUGUCGGAAAGUGGUCACCGAACACCGGAAGUAGACAGGGUGCUGCCAGGUUAGCACCGAACUGGGCCAGGGCCUGCUGGUUUGCAGAACCUGUCUCUGGUGCAUGCACAAGACGUGGAGGCAGAGCCGAGCACAUGCUGUUUGGGGAAAGAGAGGCAAAGCUUUGUUCGCAUGUCUGAUUCUCUCAGGAUUCCAGUUCGCGCAAGGUGCAUCAUCUCCCAUGGGCAGAAUGCUUGAGGCACACAAGGGAUGAGGAUGCAGAUGGAGAAGGUUCACCCAGGAAAACACCUCUGAACUGGGAAGCUCUCCUCUUCCACACUAACAAUGAGAAACUCUGAACAUGACAGCGCGUGGACUGGAGAGUUUUAGUGGUAGAGCGUUUGCUGCUCUUGCAGAGGGCCUCGGUGCUCCCAGCACCACACGGUAGCUUAUGACUCUAGUUCUCGGGGACCCUGGCCUCCUUGGUACAUGUCUGUGCAUGGUGCACAUAAUACACUCAGGCACGCGCGCAUGCACACACGCAUACAUGCACACAACAAACCUCUAAGGAAACAAGACAAAACAGAAGCCUUGGGAAAGUAAAAUUUUAGUAUGAAUAAAGGAAGACUUCUAGUUUGCUUUUGGGUUAAAGGUUGCCUCUUAGAUAAUUAGAAUUUUUAUCCUUUCUUGUUUUAUUUUAUUAUUUUCUGCUUCUGUAUUUUCCAGUUUGUUAACUCUGGGACUCUGAACUGUGUUCUUUAUCCCAAGCCUUAGAUUCUUUUUCUGAGAAGUGGGGCCCAAGACACCAGCAGUUGGAUUUGUAAGAGGUCAAUGGAAAAAAAAAAAUUAAAGCCACUCAGCACAGUAUCUAUCUACCUAGCAGCCUGUGAUUGACUGCUCACUAAGAAUUUCUGUGUUUAAGGCCUUAUUUAUUUAUUUAUUUAUUUUUUGGUUGUUUCUCAAGACUGUGUUUUUCUGUGUAACUAUGACUGUUUUGGAACUCGGACCAGGCUGACCUCGAACUCGAAGAUCUGUCUGCCUCUGCUUCCUGAAUGCUAGGAUUAAAGGCAUGCACUUCCACUGGCCGCUGCCACCACCAGCACCACGGGCUUAAGACCUUAUUUCUAGGACAAGCAUUUAACAUUUUUUUCCCUUGGCUUUUUAUGGUAGACAAUUUCAAAUACAUGCCAACAUAGAAUUAUCUUCUUUCCUUUUUCUUUUUGUCACAUGUACCCUUAACUAACGCUGGGAAGGAAUACUUGUGUGAGUUUGAGACUACAAGCUAACCUCCUGAGGGACAGCCGUACGUACAACUGUCAUGGCCACCCUGACAGUUUUAGAAACAUUGGCACGCCUUUCUUGAUUGCACAGCAUCGCCAGUGGAUAUUGGAGGAGUUUGCCCAAGCUUCGGUUCUGUGUGCUGUAUUGUAACAACAGCCAAACCUCCCUUGUAGUGGUUUUCCGUAUGGAGCAUUGAACCCAUCACAUCAGGAAUGCUGGGCAAAUGCUGUGUAACUGAACCACAAUGCCAGUCGGAAGUGAAAAUGUCUGGCGGCAGGGUCCUGGUCGGUUGCUCAGAGUGGCCUCGAACUUGCUCUAGUAUAAGCAGGUCUUGGACCUGGCACAUCUGCAUUUUAGAACUGAGCCUUUUCUGUAGUGGGUGACCGUGGGAACUUAGAACUAAGCCUUUUCUGUAGUGGGUGACCAUGGGAACUUAGAACUAAGCCUUUUCUGUAGUGGGUGACCAUGGGAACUCACGAGAGGAAGGAGGAGAAACAGGUGAACCAGUCCUGUUAGGGAACUGGAGUUUAGGUCAAGAGAAAGAGGAUGCGUUUGAAAGGUUCAGCUCUCAUAUGGUGGUGGGGAUGAAAACUGCCCGGCAGGUUGGUGAUGGUGCCAGCUGGGUGAAGGUCUGCUCCAUCGCCGUCAAAGGUUAGACAGGAGAAGAAGUGGAAACGAUCACACAGGCCGGCACCGGUCCCUCCCGUACUCCCACAGGAGCUGGCCUAGUUUUACCGAUGCUACUGUAUGCCUUUUAAUUAUUCUGUCUGCAGUGAAAUAUUUCCUCUUAAUUUUAUUAAAUCCGCUUUCCCUUUUAAGAACCAGGCUAGGAUACUUGCCAAUAGAUAUUGGAAACAUGCAGCCUUUUUUUUUUUAAAGAGUCCUUAGAACUCAGUGAGCAGCAGAGGUAUGUGUGAUCCUGUUGACUCCGAAUUCGGAUGUGUCGACCACAGGAGGAAGGUGCGCAGCCCGAGUCUGGCCCUUGACCUUCAGUGGUGACCAAAUGCAGGCUCGCUGUCCAUGCUGGUAUCUGUGAUUUGGCUCAGGAGAAUAAGGGACCCUGAAGAGUAAUUAGUCAUUUCUAAGAAGUAAAUAUGUUAUGAGGAGCCAUCCCUCCUGAGUGGAGUCUUUCAAAUGGUUCUUUACUCUCCUCACCCGGAGAAUGACAAUGGAACACACUGGGGGCAGCCCACCCCGAGAAGCCAGCAGGUGGCUGGCUGCCGAUAGACAGUAAUCACGCUUGCGCUUGCGAGAAGCUUGUGCGCUGCCCUGCGGGAGAGCCGGAGUGAAGUGUUUAAUGCACCUCUCCACUGAUGUGAAAGGGGAGCAGACGGAAAGAGCCAGCUUCCUUCCAGGGCUCAAUCAGCAUUCGGCAGCUCUGACUACAGCUGCUCUGGGAUGCGUCCACCAUGCAGCUGCCUUGCACCAACUCCUGACAUCCUCAGCCAUGCGGCCCGUGAUGCAGACCAACCUUUAGUUGGUCCAAACUAUCACAGUUUGUUGAAAAUGAAGGUUGACAGGGCCUAGAGAGGUGGCUCUGUGGUGAAGAGUGCUUGCUGCCCUCGCACGGGGCCUGGUUUGGUUCCUAGCAGCACCCACCCCUGCCAGUAACUCUGACUUCAGGGGAAUCUGACGCCCUCUUCUGGACUCUGCAGGCAUCUGCACACAUGUGGCUAAGGAAGUAGACAUCUAGAGUACUGGUUCUCAACCUUCCUAAUGCUGUGACCCUUUCAUGCUGUGGUGACCCCUAACCAUGAAGUUAUUUUCAUUGAUACUUCAUAACUGGGAUUUUGCAAUUGUUAUGAAUUGUAAAGUAAAAAAAAAAUUGUUUUUCCUGAUGGUCUCAGGGUCGAAACUUAAAGGUUGAGAACCACUGAUCUAGACUGGUCUGUCCUUUUCUGGAUGAAGCACAGAUAAGCUGAAAGCUUGCUGAGGUUUGUGUUCUGGGCACACCAUUAAAGGAAGAGAGCGAAUGGCUAGUGGAUUGGUAGGAGAGAUUUACAUAAAUUAAUUCUGAUCACUACUAGGGACAGAGAAAAAUUUAACAUACUUUAAGACAGUGGAUCUCAAACUGUGGGUCACAUCCCCUUUGUGGGGGGGAGAACCCCCUUUCACAGAGGUUGAAUACCUUCUAUUCUGCGUUAGAAAGAUUGAGACCCACUGCUCUAAGGAUAGACCCGGAAGUGGUGGACAUAAUUCUUCUAUAAGACACAGUCUUUAAGUGAUCAGAAGUUGGUGUAUAUUUGGGGGGCAGUAAUUUCAAGUUGUAUAAAAACUGUUAUAAUUUUUAUGGAAAUGGUUUAAGAAUUUGUCUUUUAUCUCUUAGCUUUUGUUCCCUCAAAGGGAGUACCUGAGCCAAAGGCAGACUUCAAAUCAUUUAAGAUGUGAUCUCAGGGAACUCGGGGGAGGGGGCUGUGAGAAGCCAGCAAGGAGGUGAGGGAAAGAAUGGACGAGCAUGUGUAAGGAGGUGAGGGAAAGAAUGGACGGGCGCGUGUAAGGAGGUGAGGGAAAGAAUGGAUGAGCAUGUGUAAGGAGGUGAGGGAAAGAGUGGACGAGCACGUGUAAGGAGGUGAGGGAAAGAAAGAAUGGACGGGCGCGUGUAAGGAGGUGAGGGAAAGAAUGGAUGGGCGCGUGUUUCAGAGUUGGCGCAGGGCUGCGGGGCUGCUGCUCACCUGGGAAGGACUUUCCGAGGCGCCCAUGGAAUGGAUCUGAGAACCGUCUGUUGGAGAAGGAGAGGCGUUUGUCCAUGGGUGUUUGUCCCUUUCAGGCCAUCGUGGCCCCAGAGUGUGUCGGCACCACGCAGCUUUCUGUAGGUCCAGUUUCAGGGGAUUUCCAAAAUUGGAAAUGAGGGGGCAUUGUUAUCUGGAGCUAGCUGAGGGCUUUGAGGGGCUGGUGGUUGUAGUCAGUGGAGUAAGUUGAAGCUGGGAGCAUCUGAAGAGGUGCCAGGGAGAGGCAGCUAACACUGCCAACCCAUUGCCCUGCUGUUCGUGCUCUUCGUGCUCUGUGAGGCAUUAAAGGACAUCAUCCCAGGCGACCUUCAGGCUAAGGGUAUGAGGACUACAAACCAGUCAGUCCCAUUUGAUUGUCAAUUUUGGUGCCUUACACAUUGCUUGCAAGGACAGCUCUAACAAGUCAGGAAGUGGUAGCUUAGGACAUGGUGUUAUAUCAGGCUAGAAAUCUGAAACCAAGGUGUGGGUAAGGGCCAGUGUCCAACUGACACCUGGAGCGAAGGAUUCUUUCUUUCUCAGAUUCUGGAUGUGAUGACGUGUGCAUCUUGAAGGACACAUGUAGCCCAGGAUAGCAGUAAAUGUAGACCAUCACACAACUGUAAACUUAAUAUAUAAUGAGAUGUGUGUAUAUGUGUGCAUUUAUGUGUGUGUUUAUGCAUGUGCGUAUGUGUAUAUUGUGUGUGUGUUUUGAUAGCUAGUUUGUAAUGUUCUUAAAUAUCAGAUUUGUAGAUGAUGGCAUAGCUCUGAGAAGCUGGCAGGCUGGGCAUCCCUGUCAGAGGUCUACUGGCUGUGCUAACAAUUCCAGCCACUGCUGUGUCAGCACAAUCAUCUCGCCACACCCCUUCACAUUAUCUUCCUUCUGAGUCUGUCUUCAAUCUCCCCCGUUUCUCCAAAGCACAUCAGUUAUUUUGCUUUCCAUAUGGUCUCAGUGAAAUUUACAUUUAUUUAUUCCUUGUAUGUGCAUACACAUGUUAAUGCGUGUCUCUGUGUGUGUGUGUGUGUAUGUGUGUGCGUGCAUGUGCGUGUGUGUGUGUGUGUGUGUGUGUGUGUGUGUGUGUGCAUGUGCCCAAAUGCAUGUGAGGAAGUCAGAGGACACUGUCAGGCUUUAGUUCUCUCCUUCCUGGGCUCUGGGGGUUGAGCUUGUCAGGUUGCUAGCAAGGAUCCUUACCUGCCGCGGGGUCUCACUGCUCCCUAACAACUCACCGCCUUGACUAUGUCCACAUGACCUCCUGGAAAGUGCUCAGAGUAGAGGUCUGCGUUCAGCCUCUUUUGUGUGUUGUGUUCUGGGGAGGGAUACAGUUCAGAGGGUACCAAACAGAACAUGUUCUCAGCUGUGGGUGCUGUUCAGAUAAAUAGCAGCUGUCCAGUGAGGCUCGUGACGAAUAUUAAUAUGCCUGCUGCAGUGGCUUAUGUCUGUAAUCCCAGCACCCUGAAGACAGAGGAAGAGGAUCAGGAGUUCAAGGUACCCCAGGCUAGGAUGAACUAUAUGAUACCCUGUCUCAAAAACACCACCACUGCCACUGCCACCACCAAGAACAGUAGAACAGCAGCAGCAGCAGCAGCAGCAGCAGCAGCAAGAACAAACCAACUUACUGAGUACCUAUUAUGUACAAAACCAUCUAAGGACCAUGAGGACUCAUCAGUAGUGCAGAUUGCUCCUGUCUUGUGGGGCUGGCCUUCUUAUGGAAGAAUAUAGUUCCGUCCUCUCUCCAAGGAAGAGUUGUAUCCACAGAUAGACCUUUGUGGAGAGUCUUCGAGUAGAGGAAGGGCUAGCUCCUGGAUGCCGGGUGAAGCAAUCCCGGUGCUUCCCAGGAGUCGCAGUCACCAGUGACAGUUCUACGUCUACGUCUGCUCCCAUCCCCUUUUAAUCCAUACAAAUUCAUCAAACGGGAUAAGGAAGAAAAAUAUGCCUGUGGAUGUUUUAAAUUCUUUUUUAAAUGGAUAUGCUUUCAAUAGAAAUUUAUUGGUAUGUAAUUAAUAAAGUAUUACUGAUUUCCAAAUUAUACUUUGCUAAACAAUGGAAAUUUCCUAAAUAACUGGCAGGUAAUAAAAAAAAAUUUUCAGUCACUGA